rnacentral:rRNA from 1 species
UACAGAGGGUGCGGGCGUUAAUCGGAAUUACUGGGCGUAAAGCGCGCGUAGGCGGCUUUGCAAGUCGGGUGUGAAAUCCCCAGGCUUAACCUGGGAACUGCAUUCGAGACUGCAUUGCUAGAGUAUGGGAGAGGGAAGUGGAAUUUCCGGUGUAGCGGUGAAAUGCGUAGAUAUCGGAAGGAACAUCAGUGGCGAAGGCGGCGCUCUGGGCCGGUACUGACGCUGAGGAGCGAAAGCGUGGGGAGCAAACAGG